UGCAAGUCGAACGAUGAAGCCUUUCGGGGUGGAUUAGUGGCGAACGGGUGAGUAACACGUGGGCAAUCUGCCCUUCACUCUGGGACAAGCCCUGGAAACGGGGUCUAAUACCGGAUAACACUCUGUCCCGCAUGGGACGGGGUUAAAAGCUCCGGCGGUGAAGGAUGAGCCCGCGGCCUAUCAGCUUGUUGGUGGGGUAAUGGCCUACCAAGGCGACGACGGGUAGCCGGCCUGAGAGGGCGACCGGCCACACUGGGACUGAGACACGGCCCAGACUCCUACGGGAGGCAGCAGUGGGGAAUAUUGCACAAUGGGCGAAAGCCUGAUGCAGCGACGCCGCGUGAGGGAUGACGGCCUUCGGGUUGUAAACCUCUUUCAGCAGGGAAGAAGCGAAAGUGACGGUACCUGCAGAAGAAGCGCCGGCUAACUACGUGCCAGCAGCCGCGGUAAUACGUAGGGCGCAAGCGUUGUCCGGAAUUAUUGGGCGUAAAGAGCUCGUAGGCGGCUUGUCACGUCGGAUGUGAAAGCCCGGGGCUUAACCCCGGGUCUGCAUUCGAUACGGGCUAGCUAGAGUGUGGUAGGGGAGAUCGGAAUUCCUGGUGUAGCGGUGAAAUGCGCAGAUAUCAGGAGGAACACCGGUGGCGAAGGCGGAUCUCUGGGCCAUUACUGACGCUGAGGAGCGAAAGCGUGGGGAGCGAACAGGAUUAGAUACCCUGGUAGUCCACGCCGUAAACGUUGGGAACUAGGUGUUGGC
rnacentral:rRNA from 1 species